CUCAGUAACGGCGAGUGAAGCGGCAACAGCUCAAAUUUGAAAUCUGGGGGGUCCGAGUUGUAAUUUGAAGAGGGUGUUUCGGGCGAGGCGAGGCCUAAGUCCCUUGGAACAGGGCGUCAUAGAGGGUGAGAAUCCCGUCUGUGGCCGGCGUCCGAGCCCAUGUGAAACCCCUUCGACGAGUCGAGUUGUUUGGGAAUGCAGCUCUAAAUGGGUGGUAUAUUUCAUCUAAAGCUAAAUACCGGCCAGAGACCGAUAGCGCACAAGUAGAGUGAUCGAAAGAUGAAAAGCACUUUGGAAAGAGAGUUAAACAGUACGUGAAAUUGUUGAAAGGGAAGCGCUUGCCACAGACCUGUCGCCGGGUGAUCAGCCGCCGUUUCGGUGGUGCACUCGCCCGCGCGCAGGCCAGCAUCGGUUUGGGCGGUUGGAUAAAGGCCCGGGAAUGUAGCUCCUCCGGGGAGUCUUAUAGCCCGGGGCGCCAUGCGGCCAGCCCAGACCGAGGACCGCGCUUCGGCAAGGAUGCUGGCGUAAUGGUUGCAAGCGGCCCGUCUUGAAACACGGACCAAGGAGUCUAACAUCUAUGCGAGUGUUUGGGUGUCAAACCCGUGCGCGGAAUGAAAGUGAACGGAGGUGGGAACCCUAGGGCGCACCAUCGACCGAUCCAGAU
rnacentral:rRNA from 1 species